GCCCCUACGGGGCGCAGCAGUGGGGAAUAUUGCGCAAUGGACGAAGGUCUGACGCAGCGACGCCGCGUGAGGGAUGAAGGUUUUCGGAUCGUAAACCUCUGUCAGGAGGGAAGAAAGCGCAUGGCGCCAAUCAGCCAUGCGUUGACGGUACCUCCAAAGGAAGCGCCGGCUAACUCCGUGCCAGCAGCCGCGGUAAUACGGAGGGCGCGAGCGUUAAUCGGAAUUACUGGGCGUAAAGCGCGCGUAGGCUGUUGUGUAAGUUGGGGGUGAAAUCCGACGGAUCAACCGGAGAACAGCCCUUGAUG
rnacentral:rRNA from 1 species